rnacentral:rRNA from 1 species
GACGAACGCUGGCGGCGUGCCUAAUACAUGCCAGUAGAACGCUGAAGAGAGGAGCUUGCUCUUCUUGGAUGAGUUGCGAACGGGUGAGUAACGCGUAGGUAACCUGCCUGGUAGCGGGGGAUAACUAUUGGAAACGAUAGCUAAUACCGCAUAAAAUGGAUUAUCGCAUGAUAAUCCAUUGAAAGGUGCAAAUGCAUCACUACCAGAUGGACCUGCGUUGUAUUAGCUAGUUGGUGGGGUAACGGCUCACCAAGGCGACGAUACAUAGCCGACCUGAGAGGGUGAUCGGCCACACUGGGACUGAGACACGGCCCAGACUCCUACGGGAGGCAGCAGUAGGGAAUCUUCGGCAAUGGACGGAAGUCUGACCGAGCAACGCCGCGUGAGUGAAGAAGGUUUUCGGAUCGUAAAGCUCUGUUGUAAGAGAAGAACGAGUGUGAGAGUGGAAAGUUCACACUGUGUCGGUAUCUUACCAGAAAGGGACGGCUAACUACGUG